CUAAAAGACUCUUCUUCUCCUUGAGGAGAGCCUUAAUUUCAGGAUUUAUCCAUGGCUUGUUGUUAGAAAAACACGGUACCUUUAUGCUGGGUACGGUGCUGUCCACACAGAAGUUCAUGUAAUCUGUAAUGCAGUCUGUGAUGCAUGACACUUCAAGUCAUUACAUGAAGCGAUUUAGAAAUAAGAUAAGAUUUAAGGGCAGCACUCAGCUUUUUUUAUGCUUACCAUCAAGUAAGCAUACACAGUAAUAUAAACAUGUAGGUGAACUUUUUGCUGUGCUCCAUUUAGGAUCCCAGACUGCAUCCCUGGUGAAACUAUCGUGGGAUGCCUGGAAAACUACUAAAGAAGUCCAGACGCUUUUCUUUGCAAACUCCUUUGACUACUCCUGCUAUUGUUGCUAGGGCCUCAAACCAAAUACAAUCGCAACAUUAUUGUGAAACUUGACCUGUUCCACUGCCUGAGGCGAUUUUUGUGGGAAUUCACCUCUGAGCACGAUCCGUUGAUCAGCACUUUCUGCCAGCUUCUCUCUGCUGCCUUCUCAGUGGUUGAUCAGGCGAACCUGAAGAGGCUCCAAGAUGCUUAUAAGUUCUGUUGUAUCCAUCCUGCUAAUCGCACUAAGCAACAUAUACAAGAGCACUGCAGGAUCAAAAUACCACAACCCACAGAGCUGCUUACAGCUGCUGAGUGGGAAAGAAUCCUCAACAAUUUUCACCUGGCCACAGACUCCAACAACGUCCCACUCUUUAAGCCAUCCAUGCUGAAGGUGUGGUGCAUACAGAGAGUGCAUGUUCCUUGUGGUUGCCUCAGUGACCCUGAACUUUCAGAGGGUGUAAUGUUUAGGUAUGGUGGGACUCUUUAGCUGAACCAUGUCCCUGGUGAAGGCGCUAAGGACCCCAUCUGGAUUCCCUUCCGAUGCACUUCACAGCCGGAGGGUUACAGUUUUCGCCAGGCCCAGUGGAUCACUGGGACUCAUGUAUCCACUGAAUUAUUCAAGGCCCAGAACAUGACAGGGGUGGCACAACGGAACUACCAAAGACUAGUGGACCGUAAGCAGCCAGGUGUCAUUCCGCCUUCUGUUUUUGAUCCAGCUCUAGUGGCAGAGUUGAAUGCAGCCUCCAGUAGAGUGACCGGUCAGGUGAAGUACCCUGCACUUAACCUGUCUGACAGAGACACUGGAGAGAGAUUUGGACUUGAAUACAGAGAGCCAGGCUGCCCUCCAAUCUCUUUGAACAGGGACAAACAAACCCAGAAGAUGAACCGGGUACCCUUCAGCCCCCAUCCUCUCUUCCAAAACCUUUCUCUGCCCAACUUCAAGUUCCAGCAGUGGGACACUCCUCCAGGUAGCCGUGGCAUCACACGCACCAUCACCACCUGUGACCCACCCAUUCUCUGCUAGUGCACUUUUAAAGCAGGAGAUACCAUCAGAAGACAUCCAGCAACCUACAACAGUCGUGGAAAGCUCUACCUUUGUCGAGAGCUAUGAGAGCUACCUUUAUGAGUGCUUGCACUGGACCUAUAAAGACAGGUGGACAGGUUUUUGUGCUGGACCACACACGCUGGACACGACCCAUGAAAGGGGUAAUAGAUGACUUGCUGCAAAAGCACCAUGGGAAGAAAGACAUCCUCAAGCUUAUGCAAACAUGGUCCAUCGUUCUGCUACAGAUCCCAACAGCUUGCUGCACCGCACAUCCAAGCUACAGAUAUCCCGUUAUGUGAAGCACAUGGCUAAGCCUCUCAACACCAGUUCUUCUUUGAACACAAGCCCAGAAAAACUUUUGCAGACUCACAGAAGAGAGUGAGACACCUAGUGUUCCUGUGGUCACCAUGGAGCCAGCUUACUUUAACCCACCUCCUCCUGCCCUGCCUACACCUCUGACACAAAGACUCAAUAGAGAAGACUGUGGAAGGCAUCUUAGAAGCAACACCAGGAGAAACCUGAGGAAAAAAAAAAGGAGGUAGACAAAGAUUUGUCUUGCCUGUGGACAGCCCAAGUCCCAAUAUGAGACAGAUGGAUCUUCCAUCCACUAUUUUUACCAGCGAGGGCCUGUGCCAUAUUUCUAUUGUUCAAAGAAGGUACAUCAAAGUUAUGCUGCUGAGGGAAUCGGAUGCUACCAAGAAGAGGGUGGAGGAAAAGACCAGAAUCCCAAUAAUCAGGCCACCUCUGCAGAUUCAGCCACAGGGAUGUGAAACGGGGACCAAAUAGCCCAUACCUUCAUACGGGCUUCCCUGGAGUGGCAGGAAAAUAUAUCUGCUGCCCUUCGAAAGUGUACUCUCUAUACAGAGACAAAGUUUCAGGAGUCUGCUUUCUAUGAGGAGGAGGAGAGACAUAGAUGGAUGGAAGAAAAAAGCAAAUAAGGAAGAAACAUUUGAUACUGUACAUAAGACAUGGCAAUAUUUCUUUUGUUUAAAUAAAUAUUCAAACAGAUUAUAAACAUAAGUAAAUUAUUUUAUGCAAAAAUAUCAACACUCUUCUUUAUAGCCUCUUAUAUAAACAUGUAGGUGAACUCUACCUGAUGGUAAGCAUACAGUUAAUCUGAUUUUUUUUUUUUUUUUUUUUUUUAAAGUUGUGAGUGCUGCCCUUAAAUCUUCAUGUAAUGAUAAAAAUCCAUACUUUCUCUAGAGGGGUCUCACAGCUUUUAUCUUCAUAAUCCUUCGUUUGAUUUAUAUUAUUAGAGACACGACUGCUUGUCUUUUAUCUGUGUGACUGUACAGCCUGUGUCAGACAUGUCCACCAGGCAGAACAAUCAAGUCAGGACAAUGUCUGAAGUUCUCUUUAAUACAUGCAGCGAACAGCUGGAGAUAGUCCAGACACUUUCUCACUUCUGGUAGCCGGCUUUUUCCACUCCUGCAUCACUGUACCUCUUGGCCAUUCCCUGGUACAUCGGUUCCAAUGACCUUUCCAUCUCACAUUGAACCUUGAUCCAUGAAACAAUACGCCAGUUUUCAUUCAUAAUGUAAUAACUGGACAUGACAAGUUUCAUAAGACCUGAACUCCUGUGGGGGGUUUCGGUAACUGCCCAAUGUUCCUCUGUCCUUGUGCUCCUGCCUCAGAAUCCCAGACACAGUCUGUGACAUGGAGGUAUGCCAGGUGAGCUCAUACUUGAGAUGCAUGAGUUUGUUUAUUUGCUUUGCCAUGUCUGCUGGAGAUUUGUCAGUCCACCUCAGCUCAUCCGUAAAGACUUGCAGAUGGCCUUUUUGUAUGUCAGAAAAGCAGGGAGAAGUUCGGUAAACCUUUUGGGCAGUUUCUCCAGCCAUCGUGGAUUGUCAGCACACCAGUUCAUGUCAGUCAUGAGUCAUGAGGAUAGGAUGUAAUGCUGACCAGUGGUGCCAACGAUUACUAAUGGCCUGCCCACACCAGCAGAGACCACUUGUAGACGAAAGCAACCAUGGAGACAAGGCAAAUGUAAUUGUUUCUUAACCUGACAAUGGUUUCCAUAUAAAGAACGGGUGGAGCUGGGGGGAGAA